rnacentral:rRNA from 1 species
UACGAAGGGUGCAAGCGUUGUUCGGAUUUAUUGGGCGUAAAGCGCGCGCAGGCGGAUUGGUAAGUCAGAUGUGAAAUCUCAGGGCUUAACCCUGAAAUUGCGUCUGAAACUGUCGAUCUAGAAUCUUGGAGAGGGAAGGGGAAUUUCUCAUGUAGGGGUAAAAUCCGUAGAGAUGAGAAGGAACACCAGAAGCGAAGGCGCCUUCCUGGACAAGUAUUGAUGCUGAGGCGCGAAAGCGUGGGGAGCAAACAGGAUUAGAUACCCUGGUAGUCCACGCCGUAAACUAUGAGCACUAGUUGUGGUGGGUAUUAACCCCUGCCGUGACGUAGCAAACGCGUUAAGUGCUCCGCCUGGGAAGUACGGUCGCAAGACUAAA